rnacentral:rRNA from 1 species
GAUGAACGCUGGCGGCGUGCCUAAUACAUGCAAGUCGAGCGAACGGACGAGAAGCUUGCUUCUCUGAUGUUAGCGGCGGACGGGUGAGUAACACGUGGAUAACCUACCUAUAAGACUGGGAUAACUUCGGGAAACCGGAGCUAAUACCGGAUAAUAUUUUGAACCGCAUGGUUCAAAAGUGAAAGACGGUCUUGCUGUCACUUAUAGAUGGAUCCGCGCUGCAUUAGCUAGUUGGUAAGGUAACGGCUUACCAAGGCAACGAUGCAUAGCCGACCUGAGAGGGUGAUCGGCCACACUGGAACUGAGACACGGUCCAGACUCCUACGGGAGGCAGCAGUAGGGAAUCUUCCGCAAUGGGCGAAAGCCUGACGGAGCAACGCCGCGUGAGUGAUGAAGGUCUUCGGAUCGUAAAACUCUGUUAUUAGGGAAGAACAUAUGUGUAAGUAACUGUGCACAUCUUGACGGUACCUAAUCAGAAAGCCACGGCUAACUACGUGCCAGCAGCCGCGGUAAUACGUAGGUGGCAAGCGUUAUCCGGAAUUAUUGGGCGUAAAGCGCGCGUAGGCGGUUUUUUAAGUCUGAUGUGAAAGCCCACGGCUCAACCGUGGAGGGUCAUUGGAAACUGGAAAACUUGAGUGCAGAAGAGGAAAGUGGAAUUCCAUGUGUAGCGGUGAGAUGCGCAGAGAUAUGGAGGAACACCAGUGGCGAAGGCGACUUUCUGGUCUGUAACUGACGCUGAUGUGCGAAAGCGUGGGGAUCAAACAGGAUUAGAUACCCUGGUAGUCCACGCCGUAAUCGAUGAGUGCUAAGUGUUAGGGGGUUUCCGCCCCUUAGUGCUGCAGCUAACGCAUUAAGCACUCCGCCUGGGGAGUACGACCGCAAGGUUGAAACUCAAAGGAAUUGACGGGGACCUGCACAAGCGGUGGAGCAUGUGGUUUAAUUCGAAGCAACGCGAAGAACCUUACCAAAUCUUGACAUCCUUUGACAACUCUAGAGAUAGAGCCUUCCCCUUCGGGGGACAAAGUGACAGGUGGUGCAUGGUUGUCGUCAGCUCGUGUCGUGAGAUGUUGGGUUAAGUCCCGCAACGAGCGCAACCCUUAAGCUUAGUUGCCAUCAUUAAGUUGGGCACUCUAAGUUGACUGCCGGUGACAAACCGGAGGAAGGUGGGGAUGACGUCAAAUCAUCAUGCCCCUUAUGAUUUGGGCUACACACGUGCUACAAUGGACAAUACAAAGGGCAGCGAAACCGCGAGGUCAAGCAAAUCCCAUAAAGUUGUUCUCAGUUCGGAUUGUAGUCUGCAACUCGACUACAUGAAGCUGGAAUCGCUAGUAAUCGUAGAUCAGCAUGCUACGGUGAAUACGUUCCCGGGUCU